rnacentral:rRNA from 1 species
GACGAACGCGGCGGCGUGCCUAAUACAUGCAAGUCGAACGAGAGCGACCGGUGCUUGCACUGGUCAAUCUAGUGGCGAACGGGUGAGUAACACGUGGGUAACCUGCCCAUCAGAGGGGGAUAACAUUCGGAAACGGAUGCUAAAACCGCAUAGGUCUUCGAACCGCAUGGUUUGAAGAGGAAAAGAGGCGCAAGCUUCUGCUGAUGGAUGGACCCGCGGUGCAUUAGCUAGUUGGUGAGGUAACGGCUCACCAAGGCCGUGAUGCAUAGCCGACCUGAGAGGGUGAUCGGCCACAUUGGGACUGAGACACGGCCCAAACUCCUACGGGAGGCAGCAGUAGGGAAUCUUCCGCAAUGGACGCAAGUCUGACGGAGCAACGCCGCGUGAGUGAAGAAGGUUUUCGGAUCGUAAAACUCUGUUGUUAGAGAAGAACAAGUGCUAGAGUAACUGUUAGCGCCUUGACGGUAUCUAACCAGAAAGCCACGGCUAACUACGUGCCAGCAGCCGCGGUAAUACGUAGGUGGCAAGCGUUGUCCGGAUUUAUUGGGCGUAAAGCGAGCGCAGGCGGUUCCUUAAGUCUGAUGUGAAAGCCCCCGGCUCAACCGGGGAGGGUCAUUGGAAACUGGGGAACUUGAGUGCAGAAGAGGAGAGUGGAAUUCCAUGUGUAGCGGUGAAAUGCGUAGAUAUAUGGAGGAACACCAGUGGCGAAGGCGACUCUCUGGUCUGUAACUGACGCUGAGGCUCGAAAGCGUGGGUAGCAAACAGG